GACAGAGGGGGCAAACGUUGUUCGGAAUUACUGGGCGUAAAGCGCGUGUAGGCUGCUUGGCAAGUCGGAUGUGAAAGCCCUGGGCUCAACCCAGGAAGUGCAUUCGAAACUGCCGAGCUCGAGUUCUGGAGAGGAUAGCGGAAUUCUCGGUGUAGAGGUGAAAUUCGUAGAUAUCGAGAGGAACACCGGUGGCGAAGGCGGCUAUCUGGACAGAAACUGACGCUGAGACGCGAAAGCGUGGGGAGCAAACAGG
rnacentral:rRNA from 1 species